GCACAUACAUAAACAAUCACAGGCCUCCUCCUUCUCUUUCUUUCCCUCUCUCGCUCGAGCUUUUAGCCUUUGAUUUUUAUUUUCGGGUAACCUCUCUCGAAAACUAUUUGUAUCUCAGAGAGAAAGAGAUAAAGAGAUUACAGAGAGAGAGAGAGAGAUCCAAAACCAGAAGCAAUCUUCUUCGUUUGCCUUUUUUUGUUCUUCUUCUUUCGUGUGAAGAUUGGUAUCCCUUUUCUCCGCCAAACUCCCCGCCGCCGAUCCACUCCCUUCUAUGUACGUUUUAUCUUCUUCGGAAGGAACCUAGAACUUGUCUCUGUCCCUUUGAAGAACGUGAUCCUGUCUCUUCAAGGGUAGUGAAGCGUUUCUUGUUUAUUGUGAAAGUCGAAGAUAGAGAGAGAGAUGAAGAGAGUUAGAGAAGAGGUUUACGUUGAAGCUCAGACACGAGGACAAACAAAUGGUAGUAGGCCUUUAACGAUAGGUGGAGGAGGAGGAGGAAACAUGGGAGGGCUAACAACGAAUGAUGCCCUGAGCUAUCUCAAAGCUGUCAAGGAUAUGUUUCAAGACAAGAAAGACAAGUACGACACUUUCCUUGCACUCAUGAAGGACUUUAAAGCCCAGAGAGUUAACACUGAUGGCGUCAUUGCAAGUGUAAAGGAGUUGUUCAAGGGCUAUGACGACUUGCUUUUGGGUUUUAAUACCUUCUUGCCUAAGGGUUACAGAAUAACCCUUCCUGAGAAGAAGCCUGUGGCUUUUGGAGAAGCUAUCGACUUUGUUAACAAGAUCAAGGCGCGGUUUGGGGAUGAUAACCGUGCGUAUAAAAGAUUCCUGGACAUCUUGAACAUGUAUAGAAAGGAAGGCAAGUCCAUCUCCUCUGUCUAUCAAGAGGUUACUCUGUUGUUCCAGGGCCAUGAAGAUCUGCUUGCUGAGUUUGUUAAUUUCUUACCUAAUAAUUCAGGAUCAGGUUCUGGAAGCAAUGCAGUACCGCAUGAUAGAAGUUCUUCACUUCAUCCAAUGCAUUUUAACAAGAAAAUAAAAAUUGGAAGUAGGCUUGAUGAGUAUACCGCUCACUCUGAUCAACGUGAAGAUGGUGAUGAGAAUCUUGUGGCUUCUGGUAAUUCUCGGGGAAAAUCCCUUAAUCAAGGUCAAUGGCGGCAGGUAGAAGACAACGAGGAUGUAGUCUUUGGCCAAAAAAAUAAUAUGGUCAAGGGUAUAAAUGAACUGGAUCUUACUGACUGUGUACAAUGUACACCAAGCUAUCGUCACCUGCCAGAUGAUUAUCCCAUUCCUAUUUCAAGCUACAGAAAUUCACUAGGUGAAAAGGUACUCAAUGAUCAUUGGGUUUCUGUCACAUCGGGGAGCGAGGAUUACUCAUUCAAACACAUGCGUAAAAACCAGUAUGAAGAAAGCUUGUUUCGGUGUGAAGAUGACAGGUUUGAGUUGGAUAUGUUAUUAGAGUCUGUGAAUGCAGCCAUUAAGCGUGUGGAAACUCUUCUGGAGAAGAUCAACAACAACACAAUCUCUACACCAAUUUGUAUCAAAGAACACUUAUCAGUGCUGAACCUAAGAUGCAUUGAGCGGUUGUACGGGGAUUAUGGGCUUGACGUUAUGGAAAUUCUGAAGAAGAAUUCUCAUAUCGCCUUGCCAGUGAUACUAACUCGCUUGAAGCAGAAACAAGAAGAAUGGGCUAGGUGUCGCUUUGAUUUCAGGAAAGUAUGGGCUGAUGUAUAUGCUAAGAAUCAUCACAAAUCACUAGAUCACCGUAGCUUUUAUUUUAAGCAGCAGGACUCCAAGAAUCUCAGCACAAAAGGUUUAGUGGCUGAAAUAAAAGAUAUCAGUGACAGUAAGCAUAAAGAAGACCCGCUUCAUGCCAUUGCUGUCGGAACUAAGCCCUCUUUCACCCCAGACUUGGAGUUCAGUUAUUCCGAUACUCAAGUUCAUGCUGACUUAUACCAACUAAUCAAGUAUUACUGCGAAGAAAUAUGUGCUACUGAACAGUCAGAUAAAGUAAUGAAGCUGUGGGUAGCCUUUUUGGAGCCCAUCUUUGGCGUUCCUUCUAGGUCUCAAAGUGGUGAGGCAAUGAUAGAUGUUGCAAAGUCCAAAGACAACCAAGAGCAACAUGAUGCAUGUGAGGCAGUGAAGGAGAGCACCUGUGAUGUUUCUCUUGUCUCAAACCUAAAACUUAUAACACCUCCAACAACACCUAACAAAGAAAACCCAACAGUACAAGGGAGCUCUGUCGCACAAGAAACCAUUCAGCAAGAUAAACUGCAUGUUGGCGCAGCUAUGAAUAUUAAGGAUACCCAGCCGGUGGCACCACCCAGAAAGGAUUUGUUAAUGGAGGGUGUAGAGAAUCGUACUGAUGUAAUAAUGGGAGAUCAGAAGGUUGAGCGAGAAGAGGGUGAGUUAUCCCCCACCGAAAGUUUUGAGCAAGACAAUCAUGAGGUUUAUAGAGACAAUGGCGUUGAGUCUCUUCAGAAACUGCCAGACAAUGUAGGAAGUAAUAAAGAGCAAGAGCACAAAGGAGGUGCAGUCUGUACUGAAGCCAAAGCAAAGAGCAGUACUCUCCCUAAAGAUGAUGAAAAUAAAAUCACUCACGCCUCAGGAAGCAAAUGUGGUGGCCAAGUUUCUUCCGAUGAAGAGCAUAAAGGAGCUAUGAACUGUGACCGGCUUGGCAGUGUGAUUGAGAGUGAAAACGAGGCUGUAGGGAUGAUUAAUGCCAAUGAGACUGAAGAUGGGUCUCUCACAUUUUCAGAACGGUAUCUGCAACCUGUAAAGCCCCUUGCAAAGCAUGUGCCUGGAGCACUACAAGUCAGUGAAAGUAACUCUCCUAAUGAUUCUCGAGUUUUCUACGGGAAUGAUUCCUUUUAUGUGCUUUUUAGGCUGCAUCAAAUGUUGUACGAGAGAAUACAAUCUGCAAAGAUACAUUCAGAGAGGAAAUGGAAAGCUCCAGAUCCAGAUAACACAUCUCCUGAUUCUUAUACCAGGUUCAUGGAUGCUCUCUACAAUUUACUUGACGGCUCGAGUGAUAAUACAAAGUUUGAAGAUGAGUGCCGAGCUCUUAUUGGAGCACAAUCAUAUGUUCUCUUCACAUUGGACAAGCUAGUUCAGAAGUUUGUCAAACAUCUUCAUUCAGUUGCAGCUGAUGAGACCGACACCAAGCUACUACAACUAUACACAUAUGAGAACUACAGAAAACCGGGAAGGUUCUUUGAUAUAGUGUACCAUGAGAAUGCGCGAGCCCUUCUCCAUGAGCAGAACAUAUACCGGAUUGGAUAUUCAUCUGCACAAACCCGUCUCGCGAUUCAACUUAUGAACAACGGGAACGAUCAUCAGCCUGAAGUUACAGCUGUAACGGUGGAACCAGGUUUUGCAAAUUAUCUACAGAAUGACUUUCUUUCGCUUGUACCUGAUGAAGAAAGACCUGGUCUAUAUCUGAAGAGGAACAUGGCGAAAAUGAGCGGUCCAGAUGAAUCUUCAGGGAUGUUGCGUGCAAUGGAAGGACUGAAGAUUAUCAAUGAGGUCGAAUGCAAGAUGGCUUGCAGUUCUUCCAAGGUCAAGUAUGAACCAAAUACAUCAGAUCUUCUGUAUAGAGUCAAGCAGAAGAAACCAAAAGUGAAUCCAAAUGGGCUUGACAAUGAUAAAACUCCUGGUAGCAGUGAAACCUCUAGAAAGAGAAAAAUAUCGCGUUUUCACAUGUGUCUGAACCGUAGACUUGCUGCCUUGCCUUAACAACGCGGCUUCAAGCACGUGUGAAAGUUCUUGGCUGAGAUAUGCAAGUAUGAGUUAGUGGUAGAGACUAGAGACCGACCAAACUGUCUUUGACAAAGAUUCUUGCAUCAUUUCUGGCUCAGAGAGAUUCUUCACAUGUCAACCGUAAAUUUUCAUUUUUCCUAAAAAUUGCGUCUGGAGCCGCCAGUUUUGGUGUAUAGUGUUCAAGUCCAAAGACCUGGGAAGAAGAAAGUAAUUAAAGCGAAAAUGCGACCAGUAAGUGCAUAUAAAAACCAACUAUAAAUAAAGAGAGGAGCAAGCAGAAACGUCUUGUUGCUGGAGAAGAAGACGACACAGAGAAGCAUCCUAGCUAUACCUAACUGAACUAGAGUAGUCUUAGGAAGUCUGAAACAUGUCAUUGCAAACACCAACCGUUGACUUUAAUAAAAUAAAAUUUCCACCU